UACGGAGGGUGCAAGCGUUGUCCGGAUUUAUUGGGUUUAAAGGGUGCGUAGGUGGUUUUCUAAGUCUGGUUUGAAAGCAAGCGGCUUAACCGUUUGAUGUGGCUGGAAACUGGAGGACUUGAAUGGGUUGGCGGUAGCCGGAAUGGGUCAUGUAGCGGUGAAAUGCAUAGAUAUGACCCGGAACACCGAUUGCGAAGGCAGGCUACCACGACUUGAUUGACACUGAGGCACGAGAGCAUGGGUAGCGAACAGG
rnacentral:rRNA from 1 species